GAUUUUUCCUGUGGCUUCAUGCAUGUUUUCCUGAUGUCUCUAGAUUCCUGGAGGUAGAGACCGGGUCUGGAGAACAGAGCACAGUUUUAAUCACACAGCAGAUUCUUAAACCAAAGGAAGACUUGAGGAUAGAAUUAUUGUGCCGUGACUCUCUCGUGCGUCAUUCAUGAAUCUUAAUACUCUUCACCUCCUCCAUUGCCUAAUAAAAUAUUUCCUUGUAACUGUAAAGCAAGAAAUCAACAGAGUAACCAUCUACCACAGAAGAUUCAAGAAAUGUACUCCUCGGGAACAUCACCAUUUAGUCAUUUCAAGCUCAAUGUCGUGUGGGUUAAACACGAUUAUAAACCAUCUAAGACUCGAUUACUUAUAUAUUGGCUGACCAGAUGUAUAACGAGAACGUUUCAAUAGAGGACUCCACGUGACAUCAUUGCAUUAAAGCCUCAACCCACGCCGUGAUGGAUAGCUACUUUUCUACAAGGACAGCACCAUCUGUGCUGGGAAGUAGUCCACUUCAGACCCGGGCAGAUUUGUCAGCAACGUUGAAAUUUAAGAUUCUGAAGAAAAAUAUUAUUGUUCUACAUUCACAAGGGGCCAAUGCUGUGCAUUCAUUAUAAUAAAUUCACGGCUAUGUAAGCUACUUGCUGCUAA
rnacentral:lncRNA from 1 species